AUGGAUCAGAGUCUGGUUUCUUUCCGAAUGGAACUACUGAAUUUAUCCUCAGCACGAUCACCACUGCCAUCAUCGUCAUCAUCAUCAAAACAGGGGAACCAACCUCCAAGUCCAGCCCUCUUCUUCAGGGAAACUUCGCUCCUCACUGUGCUUCAAGAUGACCUUUGGCUUCAAACAAAAAUGUGGCGAGCUGGCUCAGAGGUCAACUAUGAGCUGAUCCAGAAAUGAAGACCCAUCAAACAGCCACGGAAACAGACAGAAGCUGAAGGCAGACCCACACCUUCCCUCUGGCUUCUGCCGUUGGAGACCCAGAGUGAGUACAGCUCUGCUGUUGCCUCCCUGGGAGUUUAUUCUGUGGUUUUGGCACAAGACGGCAAUCUGGGGGCGAAAGCAAAGUCUAUGGAUAUGGUUGCCUUUUCUCCUCUACGCCAACUAGUGCCUUGUUUUUCUGUGAGCCUACCACUGUGGGAAAAUUGCUCGAGUGUAAAGUUUCCCUCUUUGUCCCGAGCGCACUUCAUUUACCAGCGAGC
rnacentral:lncRNA from 1 species